rnacentral:rRNA from 1 species
UACGGAGGGUGCAAGCGUUAUCCGGAUUCACUGGGUUUAAAGGGUGCGUAGGCGGGUAAGUAAGUCCGUGGUGAAAUCUCUGAGCUUAACUCAAGAAACUGCCGUGGAUACUAUUUGCCUUGAAUAUUGUGGAGGUGAGCGGAAUAUGUCAUGUAGCGGUGAAAUGCUUAGAUAUGACAUAGAACACCAAUUGCGAAGGCAGCUCACUACACAAUCAUUGACGCUGAGGCACGAAAAGCGUGGGGAUCAAACAGG